rnacentral:rRNA from 1 species
UACGUAGGGGGGCGAGCGUUGUCCGGAGUUACUGGGCGUAAAGCGCACGCAGGCGGUCUGCUAAGUUUGGAGUGACAGUUGGUGGCUUAACUGCCAAAGUGCUUCGAAAACUGACAGACUUGAGGGCUUCAGAGGGACACGGAAUUCCUGGUGUAGCGGUGAAAUGCGCAGAUAUCAGGAGGAACACCGGUGGCGAAGGCGGGUCUCUGGGCCGAAUGACUGACGCUGGAGGAGCGAAAGCGUGGGGAGCGAACAGGA